rnacentral:tRNA from 1 species
AGAGAAUUAUGUCAGUGAAAAAGCUUCUAACUUAUUUCCCGAGCGGUUGGACUCCGUUCACUUCUC